AUUGAACGCUGGCGGAAUGCUUUACACAUGCAAGUCGAACGGCAGCACGGACUUCGGUCUGGUGGCGAGUGGCGAACGGGUGAGUAAUGUAUCGGAACGUGCCCAGUCGUGGGGGAUAACGUAGUGAAAAUUACGCUAAUACCGCAUACGAUCUAUGGAUGAAAGCGGGGGAUCGCAAGACCUCGCGCGAUUGGAGCGGCCGAUAUCAGAUUAGGUAGUUGGUGGGGUAAAGGCCCACCAAGCCAACGAUCUGUAGCUGGUCUGAGAGGACGACCAGACAGACUGGAACUGAAACACGGUCCAGGCUCCUACGGGAGGGAGCAGUGGGGAAUUUUGGACAAUGGGCGAAAGCCUGAUCCAGCCAUUCCGCGUGCAGGAUGAAGGCCCUCGGGUUGUAAACUGCUUUUGUACAGAACGAAAAGGUUUCUACUAAUACUAGGAGCUCAUGACGGUACUGUAAGAAUAAGCGCCGGCUAACUACGUGCCAGCCGCCGCAGUAA
rnacentral:rRNA from 1 species